rnacentral:lncRNA from 1 species
UCGAAAGAAGGACAUAGCCUUCUAUUCUUUUGAAGUUGAAAGUCGUCCUAUUGAAAUUGAACCCUUGGGAAACAAUGAAGCUUGGGAGCUCUUUAGCAAGAAAGCAUUCUCAACUUACGAUAAUAAAUCUUGUCCACCAGAGCUUGAAUCCUUAGCAUGGAAACUUGUGGAUGAAGGCCUACCUCUGGCAGUGGUAACUUUAGGUGGUCUAAUGUCUUCCAAGAGGUCAUCAUCGGAAUGGAGAAGCGUAUAUAACAGCUUAAAUUGGCACUUGACUAACCAUCCUAUGCUGGAACCAAUGAGCAGCAUCUUGUUGCUUAGUUUCAACAAUUUGCCCAACCGGUUGAAGCCAUGUUUCUUAUAUUGUGCCCUUUUCCCAGAAGAUUAUCUCAUCAAAAGAAAAAGGUUGAUCAGGUUGUGGAUAGCUGAAGGGUUUGUUGAACCAAUUGAUGGGGUCACACCAGAAGAAGUUGCAGAGGGUUAUCUUGUGGAACUUAUUGUUCGUAGCAUGCUACAAGUUGAAAAGAAUGAAGCUGGAGGACUAAGAGCAUGUAAGAUGCAUGAUCUUGUGCGUGAGCUUGCUUUGUCGAUAUCAAAAAAGGAAAAGUUCGGUGCUACGUGUGCUGGCAGAGAAAUAGUAGAUAAAGCUGAAAUCCGCCGAUUGUCAAUUCAAACAACUGAAAGAGAAAUUAAUUCUUGCACAGGUAUGUCAGAGCUUCGCUCCUUUCUUGUCUUUGGCGCGUUAAAGAAAUUGCCUUCUGGAUUCAAGUUGUUGAGAGUUCUAGAUCUGGAGGGGAUAAGUUUGAGAAACAAACUUUCCUUAGUAAGCGUCUGGUGGAGUUCGCUGCGCGGACAUCGCUCUUGUCGCCGACGCCAGCAGUGCACAGUCUAAGCUGAUUUAUUGACGUUGGGAUUGGCCGUGACCAACAUAUUAGCUAAAAUCUAUAUCUAAGGUGAAUCGGGAAGGUGUCGAAUGCGAGCAGAUGUGUUGGAAUCUCCCUCAGACUCUACUAUCUGAGUUAUUGUGGCAUUCUUUUCUCACAAAAGAAAAAGGUUUGUGAGAGUCUUGGAACUCAGUAAGGUGCCUUGUACCUGUUCGACGAAUUGCCCCAGUCAAUCUGAAAGCUCUCUUCGGUACUAGCACCUCCUCCUGCCGGAAGCUUGAUCUGGCUCUGGUUGUUUGGUUGAGGUGCCUUGUACCUGCUCGACGAAUUGCUCCAGAGAAUCUGUUUUUUUUUUUUUUUUUCUCAGGGUGCCCAAGGUUUUCUGCGUUCAACCUUGCUUUAAGGUGUUGACAACUCUAAACUGAAUUAUCAUGGGCACAAAUAUCGUUUGUCCAUGGGGUUUUCUUGCAGAGACGGUUAUGCUGACAACUAAUAUGCCCCCCGCUCAACCAAUUCUGAAGGCAAGGACUUUUGCUUCUGUGGUUUCCAUCCCAAUUGAAGACGUCCAUCUCAGCUAACUUCCAACUCCGGUUGUGCGUGGGGACAAAACAUAUGUCAAAAUUAGCGAGGAUCUAUACCAAGAACAGUUGAAGUUGUUUCAAAAUAAUCUCCUUGGGCGUUUGCUCCUAAAAAAGGGUUCUACGCCAAUGAAGACCGGUGCCCUAAAAUCUUGCUUAGAAGAUGCAUGGCGCCCUACUGCACCAUGGAACCUGGUUCCUAUAGGUAAAGGUUAUUUUGAUAUCCAUUUCAAUAAGGAAGAUGAUAUGCGACGGGCAUGGGGUGGCGGUACGUGUACUCUUGCUACUGGUUUAUUCAGGUUAUCAAAAUGGACGCCAGAUUUUUAAACCAGGUGAUGUUCUCCCUCAAACUCAUGCUCAGGUAUGGAUCAAAAUUUUUGGUUUGAGUCAGGAAUAUUGGCAUCCUAGACACUUGAUGGAAAUUGCGAGAGGGGUCGGCACUCCCUUGCAACUAGAUUCAGCUACAAGGGAAAGGCAAUAUGGUUAUUAUGCACGUAUAUUAGUUGAUGUGUCAAUCUUUGCAGAUGAUUUACCUACAUCUCUUAUGGUUGAAAGAGAAAAGUCAUGGCUUCCCGGUUGAGGUGGUUUAUGAAAAUUUACCGCCCAAAUGUAGUCACUGUGGUUUGAUAGGGCACUUGGCUAAUUGUUGCAGACAACUUAAACAGAUGUCGAGAGGUCGUUCUCGUAGCCGGACGCGAAAGGGUGGUAACAUGGGGGACAACAAAACCGGAGAUCACUCUCGCAGUCAACUGCACAUGGAAUAUCGUCCCAUAAAAGAUACAACAAUACCGGUUAAUGUCUUUUGUGGGUCACAUGCUUCUGAACCUCUUCAACAGGUUGAUCAAUUGUUGCCUGCAGGUAUUGAGGCAGCGGAUGAUGGCAAUGCUGAGCCCAUUCUUCAGUCUCCUCUUGGAAUAACGCCAACUGUUUCUGGUAAUGUCAUACCAGAGACUGACACCGCUGAUACGCAUAUUAGUAUUCAAUCUCCUGGGAUUUCGCAUAUUAGCAAUUCUAUGACCGAAUCGCUGUCUCCAGAUGGAUCACAUCCUCAGAAUGGUCUUUCUUAUGGUCAGCAUUUGGGCAACACCAUUGUCCCAAACAAUCUUGGCCCACAUGAUCUCUGUGACGACUCUAGCACUCCUCCUGGCUUUGAACAGGUCGAGACGGUAGCUCAGAGUAGUCAGCAGUUGGGCAACACAGAUGUCCCAAAUAAUUUUGGCAUGCAGGAUCCUCAUGACAACCAUAGCAUUCCCCCUGGUUUUGAACAUGUUGCGACAUUAGCUAAGGAUGUCAUCGAUAUUGUCAAUCACAUAGAAGGCUGUGAUAUGGAUGGUUUUACUCCUGUGUUAUCUAAUAGUCAACGGAAAAAACAAAAGCAGCUUGCCAAUCUUAAUCAACCCUCUGAUAAACCAUAUCCAAGUAGGGUCUGAGGAAUACCAGCUCGUUAUAAAUGAAGGUUCUCUUCUGGAAUAUCCGUGGCAUUGGUAAUGAUGACUCUCGGAUGGAGCUCUCUAACAUCUGUCGGUUGCAUCACCCGAAUUUGGUUUGCAUUGCGAAGCCCAUGGUGACUUUUAAUUCUAUUUCAGCUGCUUAUUGGGACUCUUUAAAUCUAUCUGCUCUUACUUUUAAUUCUAGAGGAACUCUUGCUCCCAACCUUUGGUUACUAACAUCUUCGGCUUGUGCAGACCCUUUAGUUAUUUCUAUCUCUGAUCAACAGGUUACGGUUCGCUGUACUUUUGACCAUAUCCCAAGCCAGUUCACAUUUGUUUAUGCAAGCACUUCACCUAUCAAAAGAAGAGACUUGUGGGCUGAUUUUAUCUCUCUGCGCCCACAACACAAGUUCCAUGGAUGGCUAUUGGCGAUUUCAACGCUAUCCUGGGCGCCCACGAGUAGAUGGGAGGAGGCAGACCGUCCCAACCUUCAUGCGCUCAGUUUAGUAAUAUAUCUGACACUUGUAACUUUACCCACUUGAACACAUCUGGGGCAGCCUUUACAUGGUCUAAUGGCUGGAGGUCACGUGGUCGCACUGAAAGAAGGUUAGAUCGCUCCUUGUGUGAUAUAAGCUGGUUUGAUUCUUGGCCCCACUCUAAAUGCAUAGCAUUGCCAAAGGUAGUCUCAGAUCACAACCCCCUUAUCUUCUCUGGUUCUAGAGUUUUGAGCAGUGGUCAUCGUCCUUUCCGUUUUCAAUCAAUGUGGGUUCAACAUCCAUCUUUUCGAGAAACUGUAACUCAUUGCUGGAGAAAUACAGUUGUCUAUGGUUGUCCUAUGUUUAUCAUUCUGCAAAAAUUGAAAGCUCUAAAAACCUGCUUGCGCCAAUGGAAUUUUUCGGUCUUUGGUGACGUCCAUAAUAGAGUGGCUAAUGCUCGGCAUAAUCUUUCUAUGAUUCAACAAAGAAUUUCAACUGAGGGUAUAAAUAACGAUCUUUUCGAGGAGGAGAUUGUCGCCAAGACCACAGUAAUGGAGUCUCUUCAAAUGCAGGAGGCAUUUUGGAAAGAUAGAGCUCGUGUUAAGUGGUUAACUAAAGGGGAUAGAAAUUCUUCUUUCUUUCAUGCCUAUGCUCGUAUUAAAUCUUCCAGCUCUCAUAUCAGUUGUAUUCAUGAUGGAAACAAUCUUCUUACUGACCCGCUGGCAAUUGAGAACCAUAUUGUUAAUUUCUAUCAGACUUUGUUCGGCUCCUCUUUCACCCCUUCAGGUAUUGAUGAGGUUUGUGAAGUCAUCCAGCCGAUGGUCACAGACUCUGAAAAUGAUCUCUUAUCUGCAUUACCUACUGAUGAGGAAAUUAAAGAGGCAGUUUUCUCAUUAAGUGCUUCCAGUGCGCCAGGGCCAGAUGGUUUUCCAGGUUUUUUCUAUCACCACUGUUGGGAUAUUGUCAGCUUUGAUGUUAUUCAAUUUGUGAAGCAAUUCUUUCAAUCAAAUUGGUUAUACCCCAAUGCCAAUAGUAAUUUCUUAGUUUUGAUUCCGAAGGUGGAAGACGCUAUUUCCAUGACUCAUUUUAGACCUAUUGCUUUGGCAAACUUUCUCUUUAAGAUUAUUCCCAAAAUUUUGGCAGUUCGUCUUUCUCAUGUUGUUCAACGCAUUAUUUCUCCGCAUCAAGCUGCUUUUAUACCUGGCCGAUGUAUCACAGAUUGUAUUGGCCUUGUUUCAGAAUGUUUCAAUGUGCUUGACAAAAAAACUCGUGGUGGCAAUAUGGGAGUCAAAGUUGAUAUAGCUAAGGCUUGUGAUACUUUAGAUUGGUCAUUUCUAUUGCGGGUGCUUACUAACUUUGGGUUCUCCACUUGUUUUAUAGACUGGGUUUCUACCAUCUUAAGAUCUGCUAAAUUGUCCAUCCUAAUUAAUGGUUCCCCACAUGGUUUUUUCUCUUGUUCCCGAGGAGUGCGCCAAGGGGAUCCUCUCUCUCCGUUACUUUUCUGUCUAGCUGAGGAGGCUUUAUCAAGGGGCCUGAGUCGUCUUCAACUUGAUGGGCUUACUAAGCCAACUUUUGCUCCAAGAUGUUGUAUCUCUCCUUCUCACGUUCUCUAUGCAGAUGACUUAUUCAUUUUCUGUAGAAGUGAUGGUGUCACUCUGCGUAAUUUGCAAGGUUUCUUCGAUAGAUAUAGUAGAGCCUCUGGUCAAUUUAUCAAUAAGGCAAAAAGUACUUUCUACUUGGGCUCUACCUCAAGGCAUCGCAAAGCUGUGGUUGAGAGUUACUUGGGUUUCAAAGAAGGCAAAGCACCUUUUGUCUACCUUAGAGUUCCAAUCUUCUGUGGCAAGCCUAAAAGGAGUCAUCUUCAAGCCUUGGCAGAUAAAGCUAAAGCGAAGUUAACUGGUUGGAAGGGGAAACUUUUAUCUAUGGCAGGAAGAGUUCAACUCACUCAAUCAGUUUUUCAAAGUAUGCUCUUGCAUAGCUUUUCCGUCUAUAAGUGGCCUUCUUCCUUGCUAAGGCCUCUUUCAAGAUGUGCUCGCAAUUUUAUAUGGUCUGGUGACGUAACCUCCAAGAAGUCUGUUACCGUUUCUUGGCGUCAGAUUUGUGCUCCGAAGAAUGAAGGUGGUUUGGGUUUGCGUGAUCUUGGCCUCUCUUAAACACUACUGCUCUCUUAAAGCUUGGAUGGCUUAUUAUUACUACUGAUUCCCCUUGGAGUAUUUAUCUUCGGGAACGUUUCAAGCUACAUGGUCGCCUAUAUUCUUGUAGUUAUAAGCGAUCUUCUAUAUGGCCUGGUAUUAAAUCCAUUCUUCAUAUCUUGUUUCAGAAUUGUCGUUGGGUGAUUGGAAAUGGUUCUACUACUUCCCUUUGGGUUGAUAAAUGGCUGGAUAAGCCUAUUGUGGACGUCGUUGGUGCAACAGAGAUUGCUCCAUCUUUAUCUCGUACUAAGGUCUCAAAUAUUAUUCGUAUGGGAAAAUGGGUUAUUCCUUCUUUUUUUUCUUCUACUUUCCUAUACCUAACUAAUGAGAUUUUAGAAAUGCCUCUUCCAAUUGAUGAGGAUAAGGACGUUUUAAUUUGGGAAGUUUCUACAUCUGGUGUUUUUUCGUUCUCCGAUGGCUAUGAAAUUGUUCGUCAUCGGUUCCCUGUUAAGAGUUGGGCUUCCACUAUCUGGCGUCCUUUCAUCCCACCUCGUUACUCUAUUUUAGUUUGGAAGAUUCUAUUCAACAAGCUCCCAACGGAGGAUCAACUUCAGCGCCGAGGCAUCCCGCUGGCUCCAAUAUGCCAACUAUGUCACAAGAAUUCUGAAUCUAUUGAUCACUUAUUUUCUAGCUGUGAAUUUGCACAAUGUGCUUGGCGUUGGCUAGCUACCCAAUUUGGCACUAUUAUUCCACCUACGGGCUCCCUCUCUGAUCUUUGGCUUGUUUUUCUGUCAAAGCGGUUUUCUCCUCAUCUUCGCAAUGUCUGGCUAGCUUCAGGGUUUUUCUUACUAAUGGCCAUUUGGAAGAUGCGUAAUAAAGUGAAGUUUGAAGGCAAACCUCCCUCCUUCUCACGUCUAUGCCGCUCUACCUCGGCCUGGAUUAGGCAGGUUGGAGCUCUCACCCCUGGCCAUGUACGAGGCAUUUUGGAUAGGCAACUUUUAGUUUCUCUUGGAAUAUCGCCUAACUCCUGUAAAGCUCCUUCUAUUGUCCCUGUUCUUUGGCACCCCCCUCCUUUUUCUUGGGUUAAAGUGAAUACUGAUGGCCUUGCUAAAGGUAAUCUGGGUCCUGCGGCAUGUGGCGGGGUUUUUCGUGACUCUGCAGGUUAUUUUCUUGGUGGUUUCUCCCUAAGCUUGGGCCAUCGUACUUCUUUCUAUGCGGAGCUCCAUGCUGUCAUCCUUGCUGUCGAAUUGGCCCACGCGCGGGGCUGGCAAAAUUUAUGGCUUGAAAGCGACUCUUCUAGUGUAAUAUCAUGUUUUGCUUCUGGAUCUUUCUCUCCCCCUUGGUCACUCCAGACACGCUGGAACAAUUGUACUCUCCAUUUGCAGAACAUGGUCUUUCGUUGCUCUCAUAUUUUUCGAGAAGGGAAUGUUGUUGCUGACAAAUUAGCCAAUUUAGGGCUUCUAUCAUCUUCACUUGUUUGGCACUCCACUCCCCCUAUAGAGAUCCUUCCUCCUCUGCACUCAGAUUUCUUGGGCAUGCCAACCUACAGGUUUGUCUCCUCUUCUUGAUGUGUGUUCUCCUUUCUUUUCCUAACCUUUUUGGAUUCCCUUUUGUUUUGCAGCUUGUCUUGCAGGUUAUUACCUUUUAGGUUUUUAGAGGGGUUUGGGCUUAUGCCCGCCCAGUCUUUUCCUUGUAUUUUCUUUUCCAAGAGGGGUACGGUCUAUGUCCCCCCCUCUUUUGUAUUUCCUUUCUCAAAAGGGGUAAGGUGCAUGUCCCCACCUUUUUUGUAUUUCUUUUCUCUUGUUCUAUGAGGGGUUAGGUUUAUGUCCCCCCCUGUCUAGGUGUAUCUUCUUUUUUCUUAUCAAUAAAUUUCCCUCGUACCGCCGAGGUUCUCCAAAAAAAAAAAAAAAAAAAAAAAAAAAAAGAUCUGGAGGGUGCCCCAAUUGAUAGAUUUCCAGAUGAACUAGUGUACUUGUUCGACUUAAGAUAUUUAAAUUUGAAGGGAACUUUAAUUGAGGAGCUCCCGGAAUCCAUCGGACGGCUUCGCAACCUUCAAACCUUGAACAUCCGUGACCGUAAGAUAAAGGCACUUCCGAAAGCAAUCUCCAAGUUAGUAAACCUACACCAUCUAAUCAUGUAUUGUAACACUCUUGAUUUUACGGCCUUUAGAUAUCUCAAUGGGACAAAAGCAGCAUCUGAUCUAAGUAAAUUACAGAGACUGCAAGUUUUGUCAGCUGUUGAAUCAGAAGGAAAGUUUAUUAAAGGCAUCAGGAAUAUGACCCAACUUACAAGCCUCGGUAUUACAAAUGUGAAAGCAAGUGACGAGAUGGACCUCUGUGACUCCCUUCAAAAGUUAGAGCUCCUUCACGAUUUGUCUUGAAUGGCAAGUGAUGCAGAGGAGUUUCUUCGAGUUAAUGCACUACGUUCGCCUCCUCCAGACCUUCAAAAGGUUAAUUUGACCGGAAAACUAAAAGUACCUCUUUGGUUUAGUUCACUCCAUAACCUGACACGUAUGUAUCUAUUUUGGUCUAGACUUGAAGAAGAUGUGCUACCUCACAUUCAAGCAUUGCCGAAUCUUGAACAUCUUACCCUAUCUAAUGCAUAUGUUGGCGAAAAAUUGUGUUUCUCUAGAGGCUUCAUAAACCUUAAGCAUUUGGAGUUGGCCUGCUUCCCGGUAUUGAAUAGUAUAGCUAUAGAGAAAGGGGCGAUGCCAAAUCUCCAGUUCUUAGACAUUUAUUACUGCAUGGGGUUGAAGACAUUGCCACAGGGCAUUGAGUUCCUUGCCAACGUAGAACGCUUGAUUCUGUAUUCCGUUCCAAUGCAACUUAUAGAGUCCGUAAGAGGAGGCAUGGAUCAUCCAAAGGUACAACACAUUCCUGAAAUCCACCUGUAUUAUGAGAGAGAAAAUAUGGAGUGUCAUGAAAGUUUUUUCGGUAUUCACUCUCGUAGAAGGUACGCACACUUUUAUCCUUACAUAAAAAUUUGAUUAAUGCUAGAUUUACCACAUUUUUUGUAUCACAUUUGUACCACCUUUUUUUAUAGAGGUAUGGCCCAUUGACAUAUGUAGGUCUUAUUUUUAUUAGAGAUGUGGUAUAAAUGUGCUAUGAAAAUGUGGUAAAAGUAGCAUUUUUGUAAAAACCACAACAUAAUCAUUUGAACUAUUACGUUAGAAAGUUAAAAAGUUGGUGAUUUUCACACUCCUAUUUUUUUUUUCCUUAUACGCUCCUCUUGUUUUUGUUCGUUAGUGUUUUGAUUUAUUCAAUUGUUAGGCUACGAAAAAGAGGAAAUAGUGCAUCAGAGUGUAAAAAUCAUUUUCCCUUACAAUUUGCUUGUCCAAUCUUAUAUAGAAGUCUGGCAAAGACAUAAAAUAUGCAUGCAUUGAGAUUUUAUUCAGUAACUAUGUUUCUUUUGUUUUGUAACAUCCUUUUUGCAUAAUCAAGCCUCAGAAGCACUUGUGAGACUGCAGCACUUGUGAGACUGCAUUGAGUUCUCUUUUGUCCCAGUUGAUUUUACGGUGAAUCUUGACUUUCGUUAUAGUAACAGAGAUGACUAUAUACAUGUUGAGUCAUUUGCCCUGCAAGGAAGAAUCCGUCCAUUGUGUGUUGUGGGAAGUUGCAAACAUUGAUCGAUCUUGGUUUCUUAUUUGUCCUUUGUGAAAUGGAAUAAUGCCCAAGAUUCUAUUUGUGUAACUGAAACUUAUAUUAUUGAUUGCUUGCGUGUGUUUUGAUGUAAUAAUAUUGGUUUGGAACUGAAUUUGUCACUGAUGAGAAUAAUGCUUAAGAUACUGUUUGUGUAACAGGAACUUAUAUUAUUGUUUGAUUGCGUGUAUUUUGAUAAUAAUAUUGGUUUGGAACUGAAUCUGUCAUUGAUGAGACCAAUUCUAACUAAACCAAUGAUUAUGACCCAUUUUUCAUUUUCAAUAUUUAUUGCUUUUUAUCAAGUUUUCAAAUAUAUAUUGUUUUAGGUAGGCAAAUUUUGUGGCGGAUGUUUUAGCUUACUUUGGUUUUACCUGAGAAAUUAUUAAAUGGUACGGUAUUACCACGUUGGCCGGUAAUACUUUUAUUCAAAUUUUAACAUGUGUGCAGUUUCUUAUAGGCUUACAGCUGGAUUAAAAAGCUUUCUUAAUUUAAAACUAAUUUUUUUUUUCAAUUUAACCAAAAUUAAAAGAACUAAAAAUAAGAGGCGUUUUGACACAAAUGCCUAGGGUUUAGCUUUUAAAAUUUUGAGAUAAGACCAUCUCCAAUCGAAGGGUCCAGAGGGUCGAAAAUAGUCUGAAAACCGUCUCCAACCGAGGACUAGGCCAAAGGGCUUGUGGGCCCCACUAAACAAAAAAAGGCCAAAAGGCUAACCGAUUGGCCCAACCCAGCCAGCCAACCCCGGGCCGAGCCAGAAAUUUGAAUGCAACAACUAGCUAACAUCAGCUAGCCAUUAUAUUUGAAUUUUUUUUUUGGGCCAAAAUUUUUUAAAAAAUAUUUAAUUAUAGGCCUAGAAAGUUGAUUAGUUCAAUGUUGGGUGUUUGGAUGUUCCUUUUAUAAGCAUGUUUGGUUGCUCAAAUCUCUCCCAUGGACGAUGUGGGACAAAUAUAAUGGGUGCCACACAUGCAAGCUUUUGCUUGCUUAAAUCUCUCUCACAAACGAUGUGGGACAAAUAUAAUGGAUAGUUUUUAAAUUUAAGUUGUUGUAGUUUUUAAAUUUAAAUAAUAAAUUAUGUUUGGUCCUAUGACCCUUUGGUUCUCGAUUGGAGAUGUUUUUUUGUCACAUGACUAUGUUUGAUCCUCUGACCCUCGGUUGAAGAUGAUACAAAAUAUAACCAUGCACUGUUCAUUAAAGUAUUAAUUUCUUGGACGGACAGACGGAGAUGACAUAACCUUUUUUCCUCCCCUCCCUAUUCUCUCCCAUGGCGACUGCCGUGCUGCCAGUAUCCGAGCCCGCGAGACAGCAACCCUGACCAGGUCGGGGCAGAUUCGAGGCCCAUGGACUAUCAGAAGAAGAGGCCCGCGUUUGAGUCAUCACCGAAAUCGUCAGCUCCAUGGUCGACCUCUCCCGGAAAGGCCAAAACGUCUACCUAAACGCCCUCAAGACCUCCGCGUGCCGCAAGUACGGCAUCUCACGUGCGCCGAAGCUGGUCGAAAUGAUUGCGGCUCUACAGGAGUCAGACCGUGAGGCUCUUCUUCCCAAGCUCUGGGCCAAGUCGGUCCCAACCGCUUCGGGUAUCGCCAUUAUCGUGAUGUCGAAGCGUCAUCGGUGUCCCCACAUCACCACCACCGAGAAUAUUUGCGUGUACUGCCCCAGCGGUCCCGAUUCGGACUUCGAGUACAGCACUCAAUCUUACACUGGAUACGAGCCUACUAGCAUGCGCGCAAUAUUCCUGAUAGAGUAAUAUGAAGAUACUCGCCAGGUAUUCGUUCUUCAUAUGUGAGAGAGUGCUUCGUUACAUGAAAUGAUCAUUCUAUUCUUGUCAUGUGCAAAAGUGUUGAGCUGAUGGAAGAUAAACACUUAAAAAGAUUAUGAUUGUAAUAUUGAGUAGAAUAUCUAAUUUAAUUUCGCUUCAGCAUAUAUAGAUGAAUUAAGGAUCUCACUUUUCCAGAACUUCUUGUUUCUCUUAUUUGCGUAGUAAUUUGUGCAUGGGUUUUACCGAUCGAGCAGGUUGUCUAUACUGACACUUACCAUGAUUUGUUUUUGUUCUUUUUGUAAACAGGAUAUUCUAGCUGGGUUACCGCGAUUAAGAAAGUGUGGCCGGAACACUACUUGUCCCGAACUCAUAGGAAAGUGUUCUAUUGUUCGUGAACUCCACGUUCAUGGGACUGCUGUUCCAGUUCAUGGGUGGUGGUAUCCACACUUCUCUUUUAUCUUUCUCUUUCCUCUUAAUUUCCAUCUGUCAGAUCGAAUGUAUAAAAAAAGAUUAAAUGAUAGAAAUUAACAGAAAGUGUAGGAGGUAAAAACGAGUGUGUCAAUAUCAACACCCUUUUUAGAUUGUUGUAAAUGUCAUCCAUUGAUUCACCUGGCUGGCUCACUUUCGUACAUUUUUGUUCGUUUGGUCUACUUUUGUGACGCAAAAAUCUUAAAAAAAGAAGGAAAAAUACAGAUAUAAAAAAUUACAGACAAUCCUUGCAAAACUGCAAUGGAAAAUAAGCCAGAAGAUUGAAACUAUGGCACAGUUCAUUCUUUAUAGCAAAAUCUACUGCAAUAAGAGACUGAGACCUUACCUUUCCUCCUCUAGGAAAAAGCUUCCGUUUCCCCGAGCAAGUAUGAGCAUGACAAAAUUGGUGCAAGAAAAACUCUACCAACAAAUCAAGGUGUAAGGACAAGUAUAAAAACAAUAACCUAUCUGAAAUUAUAUCAACAAGAGCAAAAAGAAAUACCAUUAAGACGGCGGGCUGAAGGACUUUGAUUAAUCGGAAAACAGCUAUUGGCAAGACCCUACAUUAUAAAAGGGGAAAAAGUAAAAAGGAUUAAACAAGGUAACGUACAAGAAUCAACAAUACAACCAAUUAUAGUGCCUUAAAGCAACCUCACAUAGGUGGUGAUUCCGUGCAACAGAUGCAGGAUUGCAUUUGGUUUUGCUCGACUUGGUAUUCAUCACAGCAUCGCAAUGCAAAGCUCCGCAUAAAUCAGCUAAGCACUUGCUGCCACUCGGCAUUCAUCAAUUUUUUUUCAAAGAGCAAAAGAGAAACCAUAUGACGGAAACAAAAAUCAUACAUACGAUUAAAGAUAUAAUAGAAAAGAUAGAGAUCAAAUAAAUUUAUAAUCAUCUAUUGAUGUAUAAUGCAAGUAUGAUUGAAGCAGACGCAGAAUAGCUCUUUGGGCUUUGAAACAACUCCAGAUGCUAACUACCCUUCCCCCGGAGUACCAAGGUACAAAAUACACAUCUUAAGGAAAGAUUAUCACUUGGAUAUCUCUUUAUCUGUGUUAUACAAUGCUAUCUUGUACAGAAGUUUAUGCCAUGUAAUUGUUCUUUGUCAUUUUUUAAGAAAUAGUUUUAUGAUCUAAUUUAUUGCAUCAUGCUACAAGCCUACAACUAAAAUGAUAACUUCAAAUUUGCUUAAUUAUUUUUUUCGAAAGCACGUUUAUGAAACCCCAACACAACAGGGAACUGAUAAACAUGGACUAGAUGCAAACGCUUUUAAAAGAAAAGUUCUUUCAUUUGCAGAUAAGCUGAAUAGAGAUAAUUCGAGGGUUUAUCAACUAGAAGGACAAAAUAUAAAUAUAACAGAGGAUAACAAACGCACACUUUUAUCCUUGCAUAAAAAUUUGAGCAAUGCUAGAUUUACCACAUUUGUAUCACCUCUCUUAUAGAGGUCAGACUUAUCAACAUAUGUAGGUCUCAUUUCUAUUAGAGAGGUGCUACAAAUGUUGUAUGAAAAAUAUGGUAAGAGUAGCAUUUUUGUAAAAAAAAAUUCCACGACCUAAUCAUUUGAACUAUUACGUUGGAAAGGUUGGUGAUUUUCAUACUCCUAUGUUUUUUUUCUUAUGCGCUCCUCCUCUUGAUUUUGUUUGUUAGUGUUUUGAUUUAUUCAAAUCUAAGGCUACGAAAAAAGAGGACGUAGUCAUCGAAGUGUAAAAUCAAUUUUCCUUGUAAUUUGCAUGUUCGAUCUUAUUCACAAGUUUGGCAAAGACAUAAUAUAUGCUUGCAUUGAGAUUUUUUUCGGUAACUGUGUCUCUUUUGUUUUGUAAUAUUCCUUUUGUAGAAUUAAACCUCACAAACACUUGUGAGACUGCAGUGAGUUUUUCUUUUUACCAAUUAAUUUUGUAGUGGAUCUCGCAUUUCGUUAUAGUAUCAGAGCAAACUAUAAAUAAGUGUUAGAGUCAUUCGCCCUGCAAGGAAGAAUCCGUUGUUUGUUUGUUUCUUAGGACGACUAGGUGCCUGAGGAAAAUCCGUGUAUUGAUAUAAACCUAUUGUUCUUGUAGCUUUUCGAUAAAGACCCGAAAUUUCCACCUGAGCUCUGAAUAUUUUCAAUUUCAAGUUCUGGACUUCUUCUGCAACUGGGUCUUGCCAAGAAACUGGUGUAUUUGCAGAGAGGUUCAUGACUGAAGUUGCAGUGAAGGAAAGCUGAGUCUGAGUGUUAAUUGCAGAAGUUCCGAGUUGGAAAUUAGUCGGGGAAGAAGAAGGGGAGAGGGGGGGAGGGAGUUUGGGGGUUGUGGAAGAGAGAAGAGGGUGAAAAGCACAGGUGAUAAGCCAUUUUCCUUCUCUGUAUCUUGGUUUGACUCACUUUUGCCUUUUAUUCAUAAUAUUUCAAAGCAAUUGCAUGAAAAGCAAGGAAAAUAAAGAAUUGAAAUAGGGACAAGUGGGGUGCUGUGUUUCAUGAAUGAAAUGAUGUUGUGAAUGAUAUUUGACAAGAAAAGAGGCCGGAGCUCUUGGAGUGAAGCUUUAAUGGAUGACAAAUGGAUGUGAACACAGUCGACCAGAGCAAUGAGCUUGAACUCGAGUAAAAAGCGAUGUAGUAUUUUUGUGUCAAAUUUUUAUUAGUUAAAAAAAAGUUAUAAUAGUUGGAUAAAAUUUUAGUCACAGUCAAAAUUUGAGUAAUGAUAUUCAUACCAUAUUUUUUAUACCACCUCUGAUAUGGACAUCCACAUCAUUUGAAAAAUUUGCAAAACCCAAGAAAAUGAAGGAGAAAGACUCUUCGUAUAUCACAAUCAUCAUUUAAUUAACUAAUUUUUCUUAUUAUUAGUUUAUUAAAUAAUAAACUAAAUUUAAAAAUCUGAUUAAUUCAAAUGAUGUGGUUGUAUACCACCUAAAACGGUAUAAAAAUGUAGUACAAAAAUAUGGUAUGAAUAAUAUUACUUCCAAAAAAUUUAAGCCUUUGUCAUUAGUUUUUCUUAUAAAAUAAAGGUUAUCUAUUUUCUUUUUCUUUUUAUUCGUGCAGCAAGUGAGGUUAUUUUUCUACCGAUUCGAAUCCAGAGCUUGACAUUCCUUACUUUAACUUGGUGUAUUUUUAAUCAUCAUCGUCAAAUAAUGAUAAUAUGAUUCACCACCCUACUUAGUAUCAUUAAAUGAUUUUAAAUUUCAUCUAUUCACUAAACAUAUUUUGAAAUUUAAACUAAUAUAACAAUGGUAUUCACUACACAUAUUUCAAAACUUAAAAUAAUGUAACUGUAAGAAUUUGAAGGUAAAAGAGUCUUACAAUGGUGAAAGGAGAAACCUUGCAAGGGUUUAUAAAAGGUUAGACUAAUUCCCAUAUUACUAAUUAGUUUUAUGGUGGAACCCUAACUUUUCAUAGUAUCAGAGUAGGUUGGCCCACGUGUGAAGCUCAAUAGCUACAUGUGCUCCACGUCACCUAAUUCGUGUUGUUCACGUGUUUGGUUUGGAAAUUAGCCACACGUGAGAAUAUGAAGAUAAAAAAGUUUCACGUUGAUGAAAAUAGAUCAUUUGCAAAGAUUUAUAAAAAGUUAAAUUACUUCUUAUAUAAUAAACUAAUUUUAUGAUAAAAACUCAAUUUUCUUAAAUAAUAAUAAUAAAUAAAGUGAUGUACGUGCACAAAAAUAUUUCCUAUAUAAACUUUAAUAGGAUCUCACCUCAUUAAUGCAUCCUAAGCCGAUUCCUAUCACGAGUUUCAAGGUUUUGCAAAUUGCCACAUGCAUCAAAUUAUUACUUUUCUCCAUGAGUCUCGGUUUUUGUCAAAAAGUCUACAUACAUAAACCAUUUGACGUAUCAGUUUUGUCCAAACAUAGUGGUCUUUGUCCCAUUAAAUAUUGGCAAAGAGUUGUCUUAUACGGAAUAGGAUCAUCUCCCAUUUUUUUUUUGUGAAAAUUCGAAUGAUCAAUUAAUUGUAUAUUGUGUAAUUAAAAAUUAAUUUUAAUUUUAUAUUUAAAAUUAAAUAUAAAUAAUACUUAAUGAAAACUGAUCCUACAAUAUACGAUGUAUGAACAAAAUUAAUUAAUCUUCGGAUCCACACAAAGAGGAUCCAGAGAGGAUCCUCGUUCGUCUUAUACCUCCUCUUCGGAUCCUCUUUGUGGGAAUCCGAGGGAUAAAUCAAUCUUGUUUCUUCAUCGUAUAUUGUGCGAUCAAUUUUCGUUAAGUACUAUUUAUAUUCAAUUUAAAAUUUAAAAUUUAAAUUUAAAAUGAUUUUUAACCAUACGAUGUACGAUGAACGAAUAAGAUUGAUUGAUUCUCCGAAUCCCCACAAAAAGGAUACAAAGAGGAUCCUUGUCAUUAUUGCAGGUUGUAGACUGUAAUAUUAAGGGGCUAAUCGUUAGAUUCGUUAAGCAAAUGGACAAAUAGGCUCAUCUCCGUUAGUAUUUAAUAAUUAAGUUUCGUACGUAAUUAAUUAUUGUUUAGGCUUGAUCUAAAGACAGACACAUACUCCCGUAGUGCUCUCCUCACUACGAUUGCGUGAACUCCAACGCAAUAAAAUUUGAAGAUACGACAAAAAUUUUACAAAACUCGGAAUAUCAAGAGAUUAUUAUAAUUCUACUAUGAUCAGUGCACUACCAAUUAUUUAAUGUCUUUUUUCUUCUUCAAAUAAUUGGUUUUGGUCGGUGGGACGCACCCACGUGACCACUCCUCUUCCCCGUGUAGUUUCACUCUUCCCCUCACGUUUCACUCAGCUGUGCCACACUCAUUCUCUUGAAAAUUUGUGAGGGAUAGAUACCCUCUUAAACUUAAAAGUAGUGCUUCUUCCACCGGAGGUCUUACUUUUGCUCCUCCCCUUCCAUAAUUUGGGUUUUGGUCUUUCACCUUUCUAUAAGUAAAGCCAAACCCCAACACUAAUUUCUCAAUGUUCCUCCCUUUUAAAGUAUGUAAAAAUUACGGGAGCAUUUUUGUUUACUAUUAUGAUUAUAGUGUAUACUUAUUGUAUAUCUAAUCAUUUGAUACGCGGUUAACUUUCACAUUGAAUAUUACUUUUUCAAUUUAAAAAAAAAUAAUCAAAGUUAAAUGAAAAAACACGUAACAAAUAAUUAAGUGUAUAAUAAGCAUAUACCAAAAUUUAUAACGGUGAGCAAAAUGCUCCCAAAAAUUAAUCUUCACUUUCCUCUUCUUUCUUGUAUCUCAUAAGGAGAACCUACUGCUGUUUUCAAGUUUCUACACUAAAUAAAAUUCUCAAUUUCUGCGCAUGGGAUUAGUAAAAAGUAGGAGUUGUGUACAUGUAAUUAGGGUUAACGUUUUGUAAGUUAUAGCUCCUCUAAAAUGAUUUCGAAUUUCGAAGUUAUCGACCAAAAAAACCCUCCCCCCUUCACCAAAACAAUCUGGUGUAUAUAAUAUGGAGAAAGCUUCCAUAAAACGAUAGAUGUAUAUACUAUUUGUAUCAUACUUGACCAAUCCCGAAACUACUGAGCACCGGUCAACGUUAUACCGUCAAGGACCCAGAAGAGUUUCUCUCCAACCGGAAGGCUAAUCACAGUGCGACAUGUGUCGACAUCAGAAGCCAAUUAUAGCACGACAUGUGUCAACAUCAGAAGCCAAUCACAACAUAACACGUGUCAAUGUCAGAACAAAGCUAGAAACUAUUUUCUAUAAAAGGAGAUCAUUCUCCCACAAUAUUUCCUAAUGUCAUUUGUACUAAAUCAUUCCCUAGUACUCACUAAAUGAGAGCUUGAACUUAUGUAAACCCUUCACAAUUAAUGAGAACUCCUCUACUCCGUGGACGUAGCCAAUUUAGGUGAACCACGUACGUUUGCUUCCUUGUCUCUAUCCGUUUACAUACUUAUCCACACUAGUGACCGGAGCAAUCUAGCGAAGGUCACAAACUUGACACUUUCUGUUGUACCAAAGUCCUCACUGAUUUUGUGCAUUAACAUUUGGCGCCGUCUGUGGGAACGACACUUAUUCCCACUCUCUUCAGCUUUGUCAAGUUGGUUUCCACCAUUCGUACACUUUCUUUUAACCAUGCAUCUCUCUUUAACAUGGGGAGCGAAGGAAGCCACAAUACACAAAAUGACACCCAUUUUGCACCUAGUGCGAAGCAACGAAAGAAGGAAGGAAAGAGGGUUGCUCUUCAAGCUAAAGUCGAUAAGCUAGAAGUUCAGAACAACAAGAUAGCAAUGAAGGAUGAGGUCCUCCAGGAGCAAUAUGAGAAGCUCUUCGAGAUGCUCCACGAAGCUAGGCAUGCUCAAACAUAUGAACUCGUUGCCCCCAUGGAAGUUAACUAUCAACUGGGUGCCCCCCAACACAGAGGGUCACCUGCCUUCGACAUAGAUAUCCCUGAUAGGGAGCGAGCUACCCAUCGAUAUGAUAAUCAACAUGAGACUUCUCUCAAUCCAGUUGCUUCAACCCGAAGCAGGAGAAGUGGAGGAAUACUCCUCCUUGCGGAAGCGGCAGAAUGAUCGAAAGCUGUUUAUCGCAAUUGUCGGGACUUCCUGAAGCAACGUCGAGAGAAAUCCAUCCACAUAAGCUCAAAGAUCAAUGACCCAAGGGUUUAUGAGAUACGCGGUCCUCUACCACGGCCCAGGCCGACUGCCAAUCUAGGGAAGGAAUGACAAGUCCCAGAGGAAUAUGAAGGUAUAGGGGACUCGGAGGUAUUCCGACAGACUCGCCUUAGAAGUCAGUGCAGUGAGUCCAAGGAAAAACCACAUGCUCUUGUUCAAACUUUCCUACUUCCAAGAGGCAAUGAAGACUUACGGAAGAAAAUUCCAGUGGUACACGACUACACUCAAGACCCCCUUGUCCUACAGCUCAUUGAGGAAGUAAACAAAGUGAAGGCCGAACAUCAGGCCGAGAUACCUGACUAGAACCAACCCAGGCCUGGCCUUCUCACAAGGAGGAUCCUCGACACCCCCUUCAAGCGAAGACAAAACAAAAGCUUGGUUUACAACUCUAUGCUGGAAGGGAGGACCCGAUUAAACACCUUAACCUCUUUGAGUCCACCAUGGCAUAUCAGAUGCACACCGACGAAGAGCGAUGUCUUCUCUUCCCUUCCACCCUCUUUGGCGGAGCUUUAAACUGGUAUUAUUGUCUUCCACCCGAGACAGUAGACUUAUUUGAGGAACUAAGGAAACUAUUUGUCUCUCAACACAUCUUCCAGACCAAUCGCUUACAUUCUGCAUAUAAGUUGUACACUAUUCACCAGAAGCCAGACAAGUCACUACGAGAGUAUGUCGGUCGCUUCAUCCAUGAGUAUUCUCACUGCGCUGAGGCAGAUGACAAAAUCGCCCUCAAAGCCUUCACGACAGGCCUACGUGAUUGUUUCUUCAAGCACAUGAUCAAUUCCAACACUUGGAAGACUUACUCUGAGGUGAUGACACAAGCUUACAACCAUGCCUCUGCCGAAGCAAGGACAUACCAAGGGAACCCCCAUAUGGUUAACCCCUAUCAACAAGUGGGAAGUGGAAGUCAAGUUCUACCAAGUGAAGAGAUCUUGGCCAUUUAGACACCCAUUGCAUCAUCUCUUGCCUCAUUUAGCUACUCGCUAAGUCACCAAACAUAUUUGUCUCUUGGUAAGAGGAAGGAUUUUUACUCUCACCAAGCCCAUUACAACAAGAGGGAUAAAAGUUUAUAUCAAGACAACUAGGGGUGAACGUACCGUCGACUAUUAUGACUAUAGGGCCAAGCCUUACUCUUUCAAAGUGGAGGACUAGGUACUGAAGGAAAUGCUAUUAUAAGAAGGCAUACACAUUACAAAUGUUUUGACUCUUAACUGCCUGAGAUCUUUUGUCUCACAAGCCAUUCGACAAAUAUUUAAAGAAGGUAUGUUAGAGAUACAGGUAUUUGGUGACGUCACGUGUCGAUUCUGGACGUAUGUUGGGAUCAGGGCGUGACAGAAAAGCUCACGGUACUGUUCAUUUUAACGAAAAACCAUAUUUUUACACUAAAAAGUCAAUCAUGGUAUUAUUCACUUUAUCGUUAAAACUCAAAGUUUUCGAACCAUUUUCAUUAGUUUUCCUUAUAAAGAAUUGGCAGCGGUGUUGAGCUACUUGGAGUCUAGAAUCUGGCAAGAAACAAGAAUUGCACUUUGGUAGAUUGAUGCAAAAUUAUUAUGAACGAUAAAUAUGUCAUACUUGGUGGAAUCGUUGGAAGAGUAUUAAUGGAAAUGAAUAACUAUAAUCAUUUGUUGGAAUCUUAAAUUGGAAAGUAUGAGAUUUAUAGAAACAUGGAACUAAAAGUAGUUGAGUCUACGCUCGGGGCACCUAGAUCUAUGUUCUGCUCAAAGUCACCAAAUAAGGGAGCGAAACCCUUUCAGUUAAAAUCAGAUAAAAUGAUCAAAUUGAGUUUUGAAUUCGUGGACUGAAAAAUGACCAUUGAAAAAAGAAAUAGAGUUAUUUGAUGAUUGGGUUAACAUAAUAGAAUAAAGAGAAAACAUUGCAUUCAUGCUUUAUUAUUGCUUCUGCUGAAUUAAAUGCAUUUUGAUUUUACCCUAUUAAGCUAGUAGCUCACCCAUGACUAGUGUUAAAUUAGAGACUUAAAAAGCAGUUGGUUUUAUGGAUGUUUUAAAAAGUAGUUGGUUUUACAGAGGGUUUUUUUUUUUUAAUUUGUUUUUUAACAAACAUUAUUAUUUACAGUUAUAUUAAGGAGAUGAGGUGAACUAAGUUUCACAAUGGGUUAGUGAUAAUGUAGUUCAAAUUCACCUUUAACGAGAAUCGGACCAAAGACGACUCACUAAUAAGUAAAGAAAAAUAUCACUAAACUGUAGUACUAAGUAACGAGUUAAUAGGACCUCACCUCGUUAAAUAUUGUCGGCGAGCAAAAUACAACCUACGCGGUUUUAGUUUCACGGUACACAAAAUGCCAAAAGUAUUGGUCUUUCUUUUUUCUAAUCAAACAAAUAGUAUUGGUCUUUGUCUCGUGCCUUAGAUUAUUUCCAAUUUUCAUAAAUUAUAAUCGGUCCUUCUUUUUAAAUCAAACAAAAAGUAAUGGUCUUCUACCAAAAAACAAAAAGUAAUGGUCUUUGUCUCAUGCCUUCCAUUAUUGUCCAAUUUUUUAAUCAAACAAUGGUAUCGGUCUUUGUCUCAUGCCUUCAAUUAUUUUCCAAUUUUCAUAAAUUAUAAUCUUCAUCUUUUUCUCCGUCUCAUACUUGAUAUUUUCAUCGAGUUUAUUGACACAGGAGUCCAACAAUACCGUAAGUUAUAGCUUAAUGCGAUUGAAGCAUAUCAUUGCUACUCUUUUGUGAGCUCUCAUAUGCCCCAGAGUAUGUUCUUCCAAUUGUUUCUAAUUCCAAAUUGAAUUUCUCUAAUUUUACUUGUUUCUCCGUUGGAUCGAAUGAGAAUAGAUAAGAGCGAGCUCCAAUCCCUUCGUCUCAUAUUUGAUAUUUUAUUUUCAUUGACAAAGGAGGAGACCAACAAUAACGACUCAGAGCAACUGAAGCAUAUCAUUGCAACUCUUUUGUGAGCUUCCACAUGCCCCAGGGUAUGUUAUUCUGCACUCUUACUACCAUAUCUAAUAUCCUUCUGGAAAUUUUCUGAAAGAAAGUAAGGGCUUAUGAGCUACAUCUGACUUUUGUUUCACUUUUUCUUCUUCUUAUUAUAUAUGUAAUUCAGAUUCUGAGCACUCAUCAUUAAACACAAGACUUCAAAUUCGAUUUCUUCCUCAACAAUUACAUAUGUUGGAAAAAUAAAAUGCAAAAUAAAAGUUAUCUAUUUUCUGUGUAGACGGGUCUAGGCGGCUGCCUUAGUAGGUCUAGGCGUCAUUUCUUAAUUUUCAAAUUCCUAGGCAUUAAUUGGGGCGGUGGCCGACUGUCGAGCGCCACUGGGAUUUUUAGAACAGUGGUUAACGUGUUGACCCAAGACUUGUUAUUUUCGAAUCGUUCAAUGUCUGAUUAACGGGUCGUGCAAAAAAUUGUGUAGGAUUUGUGUAGAGUCCAAUCUACUAGACCCAAAACAUUCCGUUCUUUUCGACGUGUGUACUUUCAUUUAACAACAAUUUUGUGGUACUUGUCAACUGCCACCUACAAAGAAUUGAAACUUUUGGUUAUCCUUAAACACUGACUAAAAUCCAUGACAUUUGGUGGAAGAAUUAGAUUGAAUGAGUUCGAAAGUUUCAAUCAUAGAUUUUUGUUCUUGAACCAAAUUCUUUAAUUCUGUGUUCUUGCAAAAAAGACUCGAGAAGUAGUUUUCGAACUUUUGAAGUUUGGCCCUUUGUUAAACUGAAUGAAAGUUAAGAACAGAAAUUUAAAUUUCUUGAGUACCUUAUUUAGAUCUUGAUUUCUUUUGGCUUGUGGUUUCGUUUUGAAAACUAAGCACAUAGUUUGUAAAAUACAAAAAUUUAUCCAUUGCAUUCUUUUUUUCUUUUCCUGUUGUUUUGAAACUUGUCUAUUCUGCAGACAGAUUGGAUAACAAGUAUCGAAGGCCAAAAUGGAGUCAGCUGCAUCACUAUUGAUUGGGAAAAUUGCGGCCAUUCUUGAGAACGAAGCAUCUUCCAUAGCGGCAGUCCGUGAUGAAGUUGAUGAGCUUAAGCUGGAGCUCAUAAGCAUGAAAUCUUUCUUAAUAGAUGCUGAAGGCAAGGAACCACAAACAGAAGGAGAGAAAAACGUGGGUUACAAGCGUCAGAGAUUUGACCUGCGAUGCUGAAAAUGUCAUUGAUGAGUUCCUGUAUCACAUAUAUGACAAGCAAAGUGCGACUCCAUUUGCAAAAUUGCUCCACAGAACCAUUUACUUUCCAAAGAAUCUUUGGCAUCGGCAUCGAAUAGCCAAAAAAUUACAGAAAAUCACAAAAAAGAUCAAAGCCAUUCCAGAGAGGAAUGAGAGAUAUGUGUGUCUCUACAAUAGAAGGAACAAGUUCGGAUAGUGUUCCCAGAUGGGUGAAGAACAAAGCCAAGUCUUCUCUUUAUAUUAUGGAAGACGAACUAAUCGGGAUUGAAGACAAGAAGCAAACGUUAAUGGGGUUAUUGAUGAAUGGAGAGGAAAAUGAAAUGGUUGUGUCUGUGGUCGGGAUGGGAGGAUCAGGCAAGACAACUCUUGUUGCCAAUACCUUCAACAACGAAAAUGUAAAGUGGCAUUUUGACUGUGUUGUGCUAGGAUAGCACAAAACCUUAUGGAACAAACUCUUGAUAACCCACAGGAAAUAUAUCAAAUGAAAUGCAAGAACAAAAUAUUAAAGACACCAAGAUUUUAACGAGGUUCCUCAACAGUCAGUAUAACUGGAGUACGUCCUCGGAGCAGUAGGAGCUCACCCAAUAAUCCACUAUCAACCAAAUGGGAGUUUACAAAGUGUUGGCAAUCUCACAACCCAAAUAACCCAAUACACCCAAUAGCUCUCACACACCACAGAAACAAAUAGAGAAAGCAAUAUAAUGAAUAAUUUCUUCUCUAUACAUGUAGCUCAAAGCUAUUACAACAAUAACUAUGAUGGAUGAUUGCUAACCAAAAAGAAGAGCACCUUCUUCUUCUUUUCUGCUCUUAGUUUUCUGCUCUCUGCAGCUCUCUUUGCUCUCUCAAAGAUGGGCUACUAAAACAGAAAAAUGGUGCACACUUCCUCUAUCAUUCUCACUUCCGUAUCCUCACUUCAUCAAUACAAAAGCACCCAAUAAAAAAUUCAAAAACAUCAUCAUGACCAUCAAUUUUUCAUUUCAACAAACAUAAUCAUGAUGCCUCCUCAUCAUGAUGUCUUUCACCUUUUUUUAUUUUGAUUUGUUUAUUAGCUGAAAGUUGUUUUGUUUUGUUGUCCACUUGGCCACUUGGCCACAAUUCAACAGACUGUUAUGCAUGGAUCACUGUUUCUCAAACUUUUGUGAUCGAGGACUUAUUCAAAAAUCUGAUCAAGCAAUUCCACCAAGGAAGAAAGGAAGAGGUGACUGCACAAUUGGAUUCCAUGAGUUACAAAGAAUUGUUAGAGAUGUUGUCGACAUACUUGAAGUCUAAAAGGUACCUAGUUGUAUUGGAUGAUGUGUGGGACAUUAAACUUUGGCAAGAAAUAAGGAUACCACUUCUUAAUAGACAUCAUGGAAGUCGAAUCAUGCUUACAACUCGAAAGAAAGACAUAGCAUUCUAUUCUUUUGAAGUUGAAAGUUGUCCUAUUGAAAUUGAACCUUGGGAAAACAAUGAAGCUUGGGAGCUCUUUAGCAAGAAAGCAUUCUCAACUUACGAUAAUAAAUCUUGUCCACCAGAGCUUGAAUCCUUAGCAUGGAAACUUGUGGAUAAGUGUGAAGGCCUACCUCUGGCAGUGGUAACUUUAGGUGGUCUAA